rnacentral:rRNA from 1 species
UACAGAGGGGGCAAGCGUUGUUCGGAAUUACUGGGCGUAAAGGGCGCGUAGGCGGCCGCCUAAGUCAGACGUGAAAUCCCUCGGCUCAACCGGGGAACUGCGUCUGAUACUGGGUGGCUUGAAUCCGGGAGAGGGAUGCGGAAUUCCAGGUGUAGCGGUGAAAUGUGUAGAGAUCGGGAGGAACACCGGUGGCGAAGGCGGGUCUCUGGGCAAUUCCUGACGCUGAGGCGCGAAAGCGUGGGGAGCAAACGGG